UACGUAGGGUGCGAGCGUUAAUCGGAAUUACUGGGCGUAAAGCGUGCGCAGGCGGUUCGUUAAGUCAGCUGUGAAAGCCCCGGGCUCAACCUGGGAAUUGCGGUUGAAACUGGCGGACUAGAAUCUGGCAGAGGGGGGUGGAAUUCCACGUGUAGCAGUGAAAUGCGUAGAGAUGUGGAGGAACACCGAUGGCGAAGGCAGCCCCCUGGGCUGAGAUUGACGCUCAGGCACGAAAGCGUGGGGAGCAAACAGG
rnacentral:rRNA from 2 species